rnacentral:rRNA from 1 species
GUAGGGAAUAUUGCACAAUGGAGGAAACUCUGAUGCAGCGACGCCGCGUGAGUGAUGAAGGCCUUCGGGUCGUAAAACUCUGUGAUAAGGGAAGAUGAUGACGGUACCUUAUCAGAAAAGACCGGCUAACUUCGUGCCAGCAGCCGCGGUAAUACGAGGGGUCUAUGCGUUGUUCGGAAUCACUGGGCGUAAAGCGGGUGUAGGUGGCUAUGCAAGUUGGAUGUGAAAGCCCCGGGCACAACCCAGGAAGGGCAUCCAAAACUACGUAGCUGGAGUGCGGGGGAGAAAGGCGGAAUUCCUGGUGUAGUGGUGAAAUACGUAGAUAUCAGGAGGAACUCCGGUGGCGAAGGCGGCCUUUUGGCCCAGCACUGACACUCAGACCCGCAAGCGUGGGUAGCAAACAGGAUUAGAAACCCUGGUAGUCC